rnacentral:rRNA from 1 species
UUGAACGCUGGCGGCAGGCCUAACACAUGCAAGUCGAGCGGAUGAAGGGAGCUUGCUCCUGGAUUCAGCGGCGGACGGGUGAGUAAUGCCUAGGAAUCUGCCUGGUAGUGGGGGAUAACGUCCGGAAACGGGCGCUAAUACCGCAUACGUCCUGAGGGAGAAAGUGGGGGAUCUUCGGACCUCACGCUAUCAGAUGAGCCUAGGUCGGAUUAGCUAGUUGGUGGGGUAAAGGCCUACCAAGGCGACGAUCCGUAACUGGUCUGAGAGGAUGAUCAGUCACACUGGAACUGAGACACGGUCCAGACUCAUACGGGAGGCAGCAGUGGGGAAUAUUGGACAAUGGGCGAAAGCCUGAUCCAGCCAUGCCGCGUGUGUGAAGAAGGUCUUCGGAUUGUAAAGCACUUUAAGUUGGGAGGAAGGGCAGUAAGUUAAUACCUUGCUGUUUUGACGUUACCAACAGAAUAAGCACCGGCUAACUUCGUG